GGGAAGCCCUAUAGGGGCGCGGCACCGGUUUUGAAAGCGAGGCUGCUGGGACGACGACGACUCGUGCAGCAAAGGUGCUCCCGACCACGAGUUCUUCGAGUUCUUCGAGUUCUUCUGCUUCCCGGACGGACGCAGCGAGAGACCGGCGAGUUGCCAUGCAGUCUCCCAGCAACACCCUUGGGUACAGAGCUAGCUUUGCCGAAGAGGCAAAGGUCAUUUCGGAGCAGCUGCAAGGUCAGGGGGGAGCAGAUAUAUCUACCAUAGAAGCCGAGCUCCCACCUCCCGACUUGAGUUCCUCCGCCUCUUUUCUGGACCUACCAAGCAGUGACGAGGCCCAGGUGCAGCCCAGUGACCGCUCACUUCCCCCCGCUAUUCUCGACCCUGUGCAGGAGCCUUCCCCGGCCACCCCCAGUGACCAGGGCCUUCUGUUUCUCAAAAGGCUGCUAGCUUUGGAGGAGGCUGCCAGCCCUGGCAGUCUGGUCAGAUGGGAGCUCUGUAGCCUGUCGCCUGAUGCUGUGCAGGCUGCUGAUCCCUGCUCCUUGGCCCCCCAGCCAAGCACUGAGCUCAAUAAGACCUGUCUGCUUAGCUCAGGCACUCCCCUGCCUCAAGCAGCCCAGCCAGAAGGCAGCCAGGCUCCAGAUGACCAGGCCAGUGAGGAAGGGGCUCUCCUCCAAGUGCAGGACCUCUCAGACAUCCUCAUCAAUAAGACUUUCUUCUUUAGCAGGGCUCCCAUUGGGACCUCCACCCCAUAUGGAGCUCCAGAAGGGCUGAGGCUGCUUGAAGGGGCAUCUUUUUUCUCCUUCCCAGAGAUCCCCCAAGCUCAGGAAGCACCCGGUGUGGCUGAGGCGGCCCAGCCCAGUGCCAGACGCCCCCAGAGGCCUCGAGUAGCCACAGGCAGCCCGCCUAAGGCCACCCCAAAAAGUGGCCCUCUGGGGAAGCUGGGCCAGGAGAACCGAUCCCUGGCUGGGGCCUCUUUAGCUGUUUCCAGGAGGGGGCAUCAGGCCCUUCCUCUGCCUGGGCAGAAAAGAUGGUCACCUGUCCCCUUCAAAACUUCCCACUUGCCUGUCCUGUGCAAGUCCAGAAGGGAACCCUUGGCAUCUCCAGGAGCUAGGCAGCAGAAAGGCAGGAUCUGUGAGGCGGGCAGGAUGAAGGAAGCAGAACCACCUGCCAAGGCAGGGAAUAAUCCACCCUCGGCAGUCAAGGUGUCUCAAUUCCUCCACAGCAAAUCGACGCCACCUCGAAUCUUGCAUCAGAGGGGUCCCAGUGCUUGGGACUCUAAAUCCAGGGACCCUCAGGCAGCUCGAAUUUUGAAGCCCUUGCCUUGUAACCAGGGCACCCGAUCCAGAGUCCCGUCCAGGACAGGUAAGUCCUCUGAGCUUGGGAGUUUGGGAAAAGAGGGAGAACUUGGGCACACAUUCACUCCCCAGGCUCUAGUCUCCCUUCCCAGCCGAGCAUCCUUUAGGAACUAGGGCUAUGAGCCGAACAAGCUG
rnacentral:lncRNA from 1 species